UUUCCGUAGGUGAACCUGCGGAAGGAUCAUUAUUGUAUAGCCGACGAACGAGGGCUGUCGCUGAUCCGAUACGAUGCGCACGCCCGAGUGCCCGAACACCCGACCAUCACAUCUCUUUGUCCAACACCACCAGGUCCCUCCUGCAGCUUGGUCGGCGGGCGGCUUUCGCUUUCUCGCCAGUUAUGUUUCCGCUGGCGAAAGUAUUUUUUGUUUUUGCGAACACGCUAUCAAUACAACUUAAAACAACGAAUCUCUUGUCUCUCGCAUCGAUGAAGAACC
rnacentral:misc_RNA from 1 species